UACGGAGGGUGCGAGCGUUGUCCGGAAUCACUGGGCGUAAAGGGCGCGUAGGCGGCUGGGGAAGUCGGCGGUGAAAGCCCGGAGCUCAACUCCGGGUCGGCCGUCGAGACUCCUCGGCUCGAGCUCACUAGAGGCAGAUGGAAUUCCGGGUGUAGCGGUGGAAUGCGUAGAGAUCCGGAAGAACACCGGUGGCGAAGGCGGUCUGCUGGGG
rnacentral:rRNA from 1 species